UCCUGCCUCUCUUUCUAACUCGACAAACUCACUCGACAGCGUCUCCCCAAAACCAAAACUUACAACUGAACCCUCACUCUCUCGAGUCUCGACAACAUCUCCCCACAACCUAGACCUCCAUCCUCGCUCCCUCUAUUUCCUACACCGCCGCCCUCCCAAACCAUAACGGCAACUCCGCCUACUACCAAACUCGGGCCGCCCACACCGUGUCGUCACCAGCGAGCUAGUUAGCGAGACCCAGGUCGUUGUGGGCCGAAACCCUAAUAAGCAGGGAUCUAGGAAGCCGUUCAAUGUCAUAAAGGAGUUCAUUAGCUAGCGGUAGCAACCUGAUUUGUUUGAGGUCGUAGCAGCGAUUCGGGCCUUGGCGUCUGUUAUCUUGUAGAACGAGGGCACGACAAUGAUAGAGCUCGAAAUUAAGCUCAAGAAAGCCGAUUCUCUUAAGGUCUCACUCAAUUUCUUAGCCCUUUUGAUUCUUUGAUGUUGUAUUUCAAUUUGAAUUGGUCUCUUAUUUUCUGAAUUUUGGGGAUUUUGAGCAUGGUAUUGAUCGAGUCCUAAAGCCCUGAACACGAAUCAGCCGCUUCUGUUCUCUUUCGAGUUUCCGUACUCUGGGUUUGGGGAUUUCGGUGUUCCGGUGGAGUCUAGCAAGACUGAGAACGAUGAAGAAGAGUAUCUUGCUGGAUUGACUCGCCAAACGCUCAAUCGUCACCGACCACUUGGGAUCUGCUACAUGCGGCUGUAGGGGAGAUGGGCAUCCACGAAGAAGCUAUCCCACCGCUCUCUGAACCUUUCUUUACGACCAUGAGGUAAUGAAUUCCUCCCUCUCUUUAUUCUUUUGUCUUUUUUAUUCUGUGUGAUUGAUGAUUGUGUAAUUUAGACACUUGGGAUAUGGGUAUUGUUUCAGUUCCAUUGCUCAUGUCUAGUGAUUAUGUACCUAUGAUUAUUGAGUAUUGAUUACUGACCAUUUGUCCAGGCGGUAUGAAAUUGUUUACAAGACCCAAAGGAAGAAUCAAAAUUUGUUUAGUAGGAUUGUGCUAUUGAGAAUUAAGCUUAAAUUGGUUUUCGUAGGAAACAGUUCUUAGGUUUGUUGGAAUUGGAUAGAAAAGUACAGUGGAACUAUACAAGUGUAUAAAUCUUUGUUAUAUGCAAGUAAUUUCUUAGACAGAAAAGAAGCUUGUAGGUCAGAUUGAAUUUGAUAGAAUAGUUGGAGUCAUUUGGAUUUGUAAUACUAAGGUGUUUGACCCUAUAGUUUAAGAUGUGUGAAUAAAUGGUUUUGUUUAUAAGUUAAAAUUUUUGAUGCAGAGUUUACCCACUCAUGGCUUAAAACUUUUAUUGUAUUAAAUAUAGAUGUUGAUAAGCAUGUAGAGAGUUAGGACAUUGGGAUGAUGAUAUUCGGGAAAUGAAAUGGUAGGAAGAAAAUUUGUUAGCACUUAGCAGUAUGAUUCCUGUUUAUGAGAAAUGUUGCAGAAUUGUUGGUUGCCUUCUCAGUGUUUAGCACUGCUUUUGUAAUGAUUCAGUUUUUUUUUUGUUUCUUUUGAUUAGAUACACACACACAUAGGAAUAUAUAUCUACAUUGUUACAUGUUUAUAUAUAUAGGUAUUUAUUUAUUUUCUUUCUAGUAAAGAUGGGUAGUGGUUACUGGUUUUUUUUUAAAAGGACCAAGUAGCAAAAAAAAGAAAAAAAAGAAGUUGAAAGGGAUUAGUGGAGCAGUUAACUUGACUGAUUUUGAGAAUUUGGUUUUGUUGAGGUAGCUUCUGGGAAUAGGGAGAGGACAAACGGUUUAGAGGAGAGGGAGGAGAACUGAAGUCUUGCAUUUGGGAGCAGUAUUAGGUGAGUAAAAACUUUCAAAAAUUCAUAGUCCAGUGAUUUUGGUUUAUCUACCCUUCUUCCAUUGCUACGAUUAAUAUUAGAGUUAGUGGUUUGCUAUAAAGGUUUUCACUUUCU
rnacentral:lncRNA from 1 species